rnacentral:rRNA from 1 species
AUUGAACGCUGGCGGCAGGCCUAACACAUGCAAGUCGAGCGGAGCGGCGGACGGGGGAGUGAUGCCUAGGAAUCGGCCUGGUCGUGGUGGAGAACGUCCGGAAACGGGCGCUAAUACCGCAUACUAUCAGAUGAGCCUAGGUCGGAUUAGCUAGUGGGUGGGGUAAAGGCAUACAAAGGCGACGAUCCGUAACUGGUCUGAGAGGAUGAUCAGUCACACUGGAACUGAGACACGGUCCAGACUCCUACGGGAGGCAGCAGUGGGGAAUAUUGGACAAUGGGCGAAAGCCUGAUCCAGCCAUGCCGCGUGUGUGAAGAAGGUCUUCGGAUUGUAAAGCACUUUAAGCUGGGAGGCGGUACCAACAGAAUAAGCACCGGCUAACUUCGUGCCAGCAGCCGCGGUAAUAC